ensembl:lncRNA
AUGGAGCCUCCCAGUGGAGCCACCAUUGCACAACGCUGCGAAGACUUGUGUGUCAUGAGAAGACACGUAGAGGACGUUGCAAACUGUGAAACCAGGACACUAACACACCUUCUUUUCCCGCCUCUCUCUCCUGCAGACCUCUCCUGGGACUUACCUGCCAAGUUCAGGUGGUUGGUCGUCAUGGUAACUGCUGAGAGUGAAGGCUAUUUGCAUUGUUUCUGCUUUCAUCUCCAAAACCACGUCAUUAUCCAUACAGUACAGCAUUUCAGGCCACAGGAGCAGUGGACCCACAAAGAAAACUCAUGGGAAAGUGAGUCAUCGAGUGGACGCCGCAGACAGGAUGUGAGGAUAUGAUGGGCUGUGAAGAAACAUGUGCCGGCAAUGAGAGCUUAAUCCGUCUUAUCGAUGACAGGUCAGUGUCUCCGUGGAAGUCUGCGAUCGAUGGCACUUGACCCCCUUUAAAUAUCAGAUGUGCCGACAUCCCUCUUGUCUACUCGUGUCGCCCAAUCAGGAUUGAUUGCAGCACACUGACAAAUGGCUGCCCUGACUUCAUUUUUUCAUGCAAAUUUAGCAAGACCAUUCUCCAGCGUGUUGUCAGGCUUCCUCGAAAAAUCUGUCCCUGUCGAAACCUCUUGAAAAUAUGAAGCAGUUUUUAGAUUGAUGCUGAAAACAAACACCAAGGGCACAUUAAUAAAAACUAAAUUUCUCAAAGAUUGGGACAUUUCUGGUUAAUUAUAUUCUGGUUUUGAUGAGUUGUCGGGUGGACACAGAGGGACUGUAACUUUCUUUCAUCCCAUCCAUUCUUUUGAUUUGACUUGAGAAGAAAAAAAAAUAGCGCACAUUCACAAACAACCAGGACCCUCACCAACCUGAACCACACAGUGUGGAUGUUUUCAUUGUUAGGCUUAAAAGUUGUUGGGUAUUAGGAAUUUACAAUGAUGCAUUAUUAAAAUACAUUUUUAUCACAGAUCUACCAUCACAUGAUUUAAAUUCUUCAAAUUCUUAAUAGUCUGCAGGACUGUGUAAUUCAACUGAUAGUGAUGGUUUGCCCACACUCCUGUCCACUCAUAUUUAUCCACAUGAACAACAUAUGGCAUUAGAUGGAAAUGCAUCAAAGGCAACGGUACAGUGUAACUUACAUUAUGACUUGCGUCCCUUCUCUGUUAUAUUCAUACACUUCUUCUAUUUCGGAUUUUAAUCAUCUACGUUCAUGCAUAGCACGUUAAAUAUUCCUGCCGCAAUGAAUUGUGGGGCGUCCAUAUCCCCUUUCCACUCGCAAGAUCCAGUGUAGCUUAUCCUAAAGGACAUAGGCAAGAGAGCAUUGAAGCACCUUUCCUAAGCACUUAAAGAAUUGGAACAACUCUUAUCAUGGCUGCCGAUGAAACACUUCUGGGUCUUUUCACUCUGUUAGGAACCUUCCUAAGCCAAAUUGACAAUUUGACCGCACCCCUGGACUUAUUCACGGGUAGUGUUUGGGUUAGGGGAGGGGUUGUGAUUAGCCAGUGAACCUAUGAGUGAGGACAGACUGAUUGGCUCACAGGCUAAUCACCACAGUAGCAAAUUCGAAUAUGCUGAUCCUCACGUUUAAAGUUGAAGUGCCUCAGAUCUUAGAUUUGGUAUAAACCGUGGUCGCUAUUUUAUCUUGCCGAGGAGUUGGAGCUGUGCAGUCAAACUGUGACUGCCCUAGAUACCUGUGGCCGGCGGCGCUUACCACCGUGACAAACACAUUGUGUCUCCUGUGGGUGCCAAUCCCAGCUUACAUUGGUCAAAGGUGGGGGUCGCGGUACACCCUGGACAAGGGGCCAGAGCUGAGCUGCUCUCAGACAUGCACCGAACUCCGGACAAUGUCCUGAACUUCUCCGGAGGGCCUGUGUGUGAGAACACAGCUGUCCGCAGAUGUUGCUCUGGACAUUCUCCAGAUUUUCCCCUGCCAGCCCCCUCAUAAAAUCUCUUGGGGGAUGUCCAAGUGAGCCCAUGUUGAAAAUAGAGGAGGAGUAUCUCCUCUCCACAGUU